rnacentral:rRNA from 1 species
ACCGGCGCAAGGGUGCGUAACGCGUGAGCAACAUGCCCGUAUCAGGGGGAUAAUCCAUGGAAACGUGGUCUAAUACCCCAUAGUAAAUUUUUGGGGCAUCUCAAAGAUUUUAAAGCCUUGGUGGAUACGGAUUGGCUCGCGUGACAUUAGCUAGAUGGUAAGGUAACGGCUUACCAUGGCUACGAUGUCUAGGGGUUCUGAGAGGAAGGUCCCCCACACUGGAACUGAGACACGGUCCAGACUCCUACGGGAGGCAGCAGUGAGGAAUAUUGGACAAUGGAUGGAAAUCUGAUCCAGCCAUGCCGCGUGCAGGAAGACGGCCCUAUGGGUUGUAAACUGCUUUUGUAUGGGAGCAAUAAGAUCUGCGUGUAGAUUGAUGAGAGUACCAUACGAAUAAGCACCGGCUAACUCCGUGCCAGCAGCCGCGGUAAUACGGAGGGUGCAAGCGUUAUCCGGAUUUAUUGGGUUUAAAGGGUGCGUAGGCGGUUUGAUAAGUCAGCGGCGAAAUAUUUCAGCUUAACUGGAAGGGUGCCGUUGAUACUGUCGAGCUUGAAUUUAGUUGCUGUGGGUGGAAUGUGUGGUGUAGCGGUGAAAUGCAUAGAUAUCACACAGAAUAUCGAUUGCGAAGGCAGCUCACAAAGCUAAUAUUGACGCUGAUGCACGAAAGUGUGGGGAUCAAACAGGAUUAGAUACCCUGGUAGUCCACACUGUAAACGAUGAUAACUCGCUGUCGG